rnacentral:lncRNA from 1 species
GGGGGCAUGAUGGCAAGAGGGUACGUCAGCAUCUCUCCUUCUUCCACACCGAACGCUUCCCUCAUGUUCGCCUCGGAGAAUUCUCCUUCGGCAUCGAAGGAUCCUCCCGACUCCACGAACAGCGCUAGCGCGUGGCUGCCCAUUCCCUAAGUGCUACUCUUGAUAGAGAUGGUUUGUGAAGAUGUAAACUCGGAAAGCACUAAUUUCUAUGGCUUAGAGAGGGGUUAGGGGGUGUUUAAAUAGGAAGAAGGCCCUCCCUAGCGAGAUCACGAGCGGCAAAUUUGAAUUUGCAUGCAGAUAAGAAUAGGGAUGACGAAGAAAUAGACGCUGGAAAAGAUCGGGCCGCAGACGUGUCAGGCCAGGGGCGGC